CCCUUGCCCGUAGUGCGGCAAACAUUAGCCAAGAAAAAGCCCUGACAGAGUAAGGGCGGAAAGCCAGCAGGCCAAGG
rnacentral:SRP_RNA from 1 species